rnacentral:rRNA from 1 species
UACGUAGGGGGCUAGCGUUGUCCGGAAUCAUUGGGCGUAAAGAGCGUGUAGGCGGCCCGAUAAGUCCGCCGUGAAAGUCCAGGGCUCAACCCUGGAAUGCCGGUGGAAACUGUCGGGCUGGAGUCCGGAAGAGGCGAGUGGAAUUCCUGGUGUGAGCGGUGAAAUGCGCAGAUAUCAGGAGGAACACCAAUGGCGAAGGCAGCUCGCUGGGACGGUACUGACGCUGAGACGCGAAAGCGUGGGGAGCAAACAGG